AGUCGUAACAAGGUCUCCGUUGGUGAACCAGCGGAGGGAUCAUUGCUGGAACGCGCCCCAGGCGCACCCAGAAACCCUUUGUGAACUUAUACCUUACUGUUGCCUCGGCGCUGGCCGGUCCUUCGGGGCCCCUCACCCUCGGGUGUUGAGACAGCCCGCCGGCGGCCAACCUAACUCUUGUUUUUACACUGAAACUCUGAGAAUAAAACAUAAAUGAAUCAAAACUUUCAACAACGGAUCUCUUGGUUCUGGCAUCGAUGAAGAACGCAGCGAAAUGCGAUAAGUAAUGUGAAUUGCAGAAUUCAGUGAAUCAUCGAAUCUUUGAACGCACAUUGCGCCCUCUGGUAUUCCGGAGGGCAUGCCUGUUCGAGCGUCAUUUCAACCCUCAAGCCUGGCUUGGUGAUGGGGCACUGCUUUUACCCAAAAGCAGGCCCUGAAAUUCAGUGGCGAGCUCGCCAGGACCCCGAGCGCAGUAGUUAAACCCUCGCUUUGGAAGGCCCUGGCGGUGCCCUGCCGUUAAACCCCCAACUUCUGAAAAUUUGACCUCGGAUCAGGUAGGAAUACCCGCUGAACUUAAGCAUAUCA
rnacentral:misc_RNA from 1 species